rnacentral:rRNA from 1 species
UACGUAGGGGGCUAGCGUUGCUCGGAAUUACUGGGCGUAAAGGGCGCGUAGGCGGUUCAUCCAGUCAGAUGUGAAAUUCCCGGGCUUAACCUGGGGGCUGCAUUUGAUACGUGUGGGCUUGAGUGAGGAAGAGGGUUGUGGAAUUCCCAGUGUAGAGGUGAAAUUCGUAGAUAUUGGGAAGAACACCGGUGGCGAAGGCGGCAACCUGGUCCUUUACUGACGCUGAGGCGCGAAAGCGUGGGGAGCAAACAGG